rnacentral:misc_RNA from 1 species
UCAGAUUAGAAAAAAGAACAUUCUAGAGACGUAACACGCACACAAAAUGCCUAACCCGAAGCCAUUAUAUACUCCUCCUCUUCCUUCUUCUCUUCACAUCUCAUUCAGUAUUUUCUUCUUUCUUUCAAAACCUCAUUUUCUCUUGUAGCUCUCUAUUUUUUCUUCUCUGAUAACCGUCGCAGUGUAAAGCAAUGGCCGGAAAAGGUGAAGGACCGGCGAUCGGAAUUGAUUUGGGGACUACGUAUUCUUGUGUCGGCGUUUGGCAACAUGAUCGUGUGGAGAUCAUCGCUAAUGAUCAAGGAAACAGAACUACACCGUCUUAUGUCGGAUUCACUGACACUGAACGUCUCAUUGGUGAUGCUGCUAAGAAUCAGGUCGCCAUGAAUCCAAUUAACACCGUUUUCGAUGCAAAGCGGCUUAUUGGUAGGAGGUUCAGUGAUGCGUCUGUACAAGAGGACAUGAAAUUGUGGCCUUUCAAGGUUAUUCCUGGCCCUGGUGAUAAGCCAAUGAUUGUUGUUACCUAUAAGGGUGAAGAAAAGGAAUUUGCUGCUGAAGAAAUCUCUUCUAUGGUCCUGACAAAGAUGAAGGAAAUCGCAGAGGCCUUCCUUGGAUCUACUGUGAAAAAUGCUGUGGUGACUGUGCCAGCCUACUUCAAUGACUCACAACGCCAGGCUACAAAGGAUGCAGGAGUUAUUUCUGGACUAAAUGUCAUGCGUAUUAUUAAUGAACCUACAGCUGCUGCCAUUGCCUAUGGAUUGGACAAAAAGGCUACUAGUGCAGGGGAGAAGAACGUGCUUAUAUUCGAUCUUGGUGGUGGUACUUUUGAUGUAUCCCUCCUCACUAUUGAAGAGGGUAUCUUUGAGGUGAAGGCAACAGCAGGAGACACUCACCUUGGAGGUGAGGAUUUUGAUAACAGAAUGGUGAACCAUUUUGUCCAGGAAUUCAAGAGAAAGCACAAGAAGGAUAUCACUGGUAACCCAAGAGCUCUAAGAAGAUUAAGGACAGCUUGUGAGAGGGCUAAGAGAACUCUCUCUUCCACUGCUCAAACAACAAUUGAAAUUGAUUCCCUGUAUGAGGGAGUUGAUUUCUAUUCUACCAUUACCCGUGCCAGAUUCGAGGAGUUGAACAUGGAUCUCUUCAGGAAGUGUAUGGAACCAGUUGAGAAAUGUUUAAGGGAUGCCAAGAUGGACAAGAGCACCGUUCAUGAUGUUGUUCUUGUCGGUGGAUCCACUAGAAUUCCCAAGGUGCAGCAGUUGCUGCAAGACUUCUUCAACGGCAAGGAACUCUGCAAGAGCAUCAACCCAGAUGAGGCUGUUGCCUAUGGUGCUGCUGUGCAAGCUGCCAUUCUCAGUGGAGAAGGUAAUGAGAAGGUCCAAGACUUGCUGCUUUUGGACGUGACACCACUUUCUCUUGGGUUAGAAACUGCAGGUGGUGUGAUGACUGUCUUGAUUCCAAGGAACACCACAAUUCCUACCAAGAAAGAGCAGGUAUUUUCCACUUACUCUGAUAACCAACCCGGAGUAUUGAUUCAGGUGUUUGAAGGUGAGAGAGCAAGAACCAGAGACAACAAUCUGUUGGGUAAAUUUGAGCUCUCUGGUAUUCCUCCUGCUCCUAGGGGUGUGCCUCAGAUCACGGUCUGCUUUGACAUUGAUGCCAAUGGCAUCCUGAACGUCUCAGCUGAAGACAAGACCACUGGACAGAAGAACAAGAUCACUAUUACCAAUGACAAGGGUAGGUUAUCAAAGGAAGAAAUUGAGAAGAUGGUCCAGGAAGCAGAGAGGUACAAGGCAGAGGAUGAAGAGCACAAGAAAAAGGUUGAGGCCAAGAAUGCACUUGAGAACUAUGCCUACAACAU